UUGCGGCCACAUCACAUUGAAACACCGGUUUCCGUUCUAUCAUUCAAGUUAAGCAACGGCGAGUUUGGUCAGUACUAAGAUGGGUGACUGCUUAGGAAUACCAUGUGCUGUAAG